rfam:Oryza glaberrima chromosome 2 Oglab02_0363_2, whole genome shotgun sequence.
AAUAAGUGCAGUUCUAUACUUGUGUUUAUGUUCAACGUUUAACCGUUCGUUUUAUUUGAAAAACUUUUAUGAUUAGUAUUUUUAUUGUUAUUAGAUGAUAAAACAUGAAUUGUACGUUAUGUGUCUAAUUCUUUUUAUUUUUUCAUAAACUUUUUAAAUAAGACGGACGGUAAAACGUUAGACACGGAUAUCCACGGCUAGAUGAAUU